rnacentral:lncRNA from 1 species
GUCUUAUUCACAAAUCAUAUAAUCGAACGCAACGAAUGUGGAACGACACGCCGCCGCAAGUGCUAGAACAAGUGCUAUCGCCAAGUAUUUAAUCGAACUCGACAGAGGUGGAACGACCCGGCGCUGUAUAGAACGGCAUCGCAGAUCAUAACUGUAUCAUCGUUGCUAACUAACGAUCCGCAGUUUCUGAGAGGAGGAGGAGGCCUAGGAGAGGCAUCGGGCAUCAGUGGAGCAACUUAGCGAAUCAUCGUAGCGACGCUGCUGCUGAUAACUCCACUGCUGCGCAUCGGUCGGUGAGAGAUAAAGAUUGUAUAUUAAUAAUUAAUUGCAUGUUGCAUGAAUUAGAUUUAUAUCAGAAAUUAUGUGAUGUGAGUCUAUAAAUUGUUUUUUUACAAAAAGAAUGUGUAUAUAAAGUUUAGGGAUUUUAACGCAUUAAGUUCGAUAAAACGCAAUGUCUCUUGCAACCAGGAAGAGGUUGAAAAGGAAAUUUAAAUAAGAGAGAAUAAUCAAUCAUUCUAAGAUGUAAGAUAAAACAUUGAAAAGGCAGAGACGUCCUCGAUUAAUCGCUCAUCAUUUUUAAUUAUCCCUAAUUAUUAAUCACUCAAUUUGUAAUAUUUAAUUGUAAUUAUUAAUUAAACAAUUAAACAAUUAAAUUUUAUCUAAUACUGCUGUAUAUGAUUUUAAAUCUCAUAAACUUUUCAUCUCAAUCUUGAUUCGUUGUUACUUAUUAUGUUUAUUCUCAAACGUAUUUCAUGUAAAUGUCCAGAAAUAGCGAUGUGAGAUUCAA